ACGAACGCUGGCGGCGUGCUUAACACAUGCAAGUCGAACGGAAAGGCCCUGCUUUUGUGGGGUGCUCGAGUGGCGAACGGGUGAGUAACACGUGAGUAACCUGCCCUUGACUUUGGGAUAACUUCAGGAAACUGGGGCUAAUACCGGAUAGGAGCUCCUGCUGCAUGGUGGGGGUUGGAAAGUUCCGGCGGUUGGGGAUGGACUCGCGGCUUAUCAGCUUGUUGGUGGGGUAGUGGCUUACCAAGGCUUUGACGGGUAGCCGGCCUGAGAGGGUGACCGGCCACAUUGGGACUGAGAUACGGCCCAGACUCCUACGGGAGGCAGCAGUGGGGAAUAUUGCACAAUGGGCGGAAGCCUGAUGCAGCAACGCCGCGUGCGGGAUGACGGCCUUCGGGUUGUAAACCGCUUUCGCCUGUGACGAAGCGUGAGUGACGGUAAUGGGUAAAGAAGCACCGGCUAACUACGUG
rnacentral:rRNA from 1 species